rnacentral:rRNA from 1 species
UACGUAGGGUGCGAGCGUUAUUCGGAAUUACUGGGCGUAAAGCGUGCGCAGGCGGUUCGUUAAGUCAGAUGUGAAAGCCCCGGGCUCAACCUGGGAACUGCAUUUGAAACUGGCGGGCUUGAGUGUGGCAGAGGAGGGUGGAAUUCCGCGUGUAGCAGUGAAAUGCGUAGAGAUGCGGAGGAACACCGAUGGCGAAGGCAGCCCCCUGGGUUGACACUGACGCUCAGGCACGAAAGCGUGGGGAGCAAACAGG